UGGGGAAUAUUGCACAAUGGGGGAAACCCUGAUGCAGCGACGCCGCGUGAGCGAUGAAGGCUUUCGAGUCGUAAAGCUCUGUCCUAUGGGAAGAUAAUGACGGUACCAUAGAAGAAAGCCCCGGCUAAUUACGUGCCAGCAGCCGCGGUAAUACGUAGGUGGCUAGCGUUGUCCGGAAUCACUGGGCGUAAAGGGUUCGCAGGCGGAAAUGCAAGUCAGGUGUAAAAGGCAGUAGCUUAACUACUGUAAGCAUUUGAAACUGCAUAUCUUGAGAAGAGUAGAGGUAAGUGGAAUUUUUAGUGUAGCGGUGAAAUGCGUAGAUAUUAAAAAGAAUACCGGUGGCGAAGGCGACUUACUGGGUUCAUUCUGACGCUGAGGAACGAAAGCGUGGGUAGCAAACAGG
rnacentral:rRNA from 1 species